CCUACGGGUGGCAGCAGUGGGGAAUAUUGCACAAUGGGGGAAACCCUGAUGCAGCGACGCCGCGUGAGCGAUGAAGUAUUUCGGUAUGUAAAGCUCUAUCAGCAGGGAAGAAAAUGACGGUACCUGACUAAGAAGCCCCGGCUAACUACGUGCCAGCAGCCGCGGUAAUACGGAGGGGGCAAGCGUUAUACGGAUUUACUGGGUGUAAAGGGAGCGUAGACGGCUUGGCAAGCCAGAUGUGAAAGGCUGGGGCUCAACCCCAGGACUGCAUUUGGAACUGGCAUGCUAGAGUGACGGAGAGGCAUGCGGAAUGCGUGGUGUAGCGGUGAAAUGCGUAGAUAUUGGGAGGAACGCCGAUGGCGAAGGCGGCCUGCUGGACGAUGACUGACGUUGAGGCUCGAAAGCGUGGGGAGCAAACAGGAUUAGAUACCCGUGUAGUC
rnacentral:rRNA from 1 species